GUGCACACUUCGCCAGCACAUACACUAAAAUUGGAAUGAUCCAGAGAAGAUUAGGAUGGCCCCUGCACAAAGAUGACACACAAAUUUGUGACGCAUUCCUUAUUUUU
rnacentral:snRNA from 1 species